rnacentral:rRNA from 1 species
AUUGAACGCUGGCGGCAGGCCUAACACAUGCAAGUCGAACGAGUGGCGGACGGGUGAGUAAUGUCUGGGAAACUGCCCGAUGGCGGGGGAUAACUACUGGAAACAGUAGCUAAUACCGCAUACCAUCGGAUGUGCCCAGAUGGGAUUAGCUAGUGGGGGGGGGAAAGGCUCACCUAGGCAACGAUCCCUAGCUGGUUUGAGCGGAUGACCAGCCACACUGGAACUGAGACACGGCCCAGACGCCUACGGGAGGCAGCAGUGGGGAAUUUUGGACAAUGGGGGAAAGCCUGAUCCAGCCAUGCCGCGUGUAUGAAGAAGGCCUUCGGGUUGUAAAGUACUUUUAGCAGGGAGGCGUUACUCGCAGAAUAAGCACCGGCUAACUACGUGCCAGCAGCCGCGGUAAUUC